GACGAACGCUGGCGGCGUGCUUAGCACAUGCAAGUCGAACGGUAAGGCCCUUCGGGGUACACGAGUGGCGAACGGGUGAGUAACACGUGGGUGAUCUGCCCUGCACUUCGGGAUAAGCCUGGGAAACUGGGUCUAAUACCGGAUAGGACCACUGCCUGCAUGGGUGGUGGUGGAAAGCUUUUGCGGUGUGGGAUGGGCCCGCGGCCUAUCAGCUUGUUGGUGGGGUGAUGGCCUACCAAGGCGACGACGGGUAGCCGGCCGGGGAGGGUGACCGGCCACAGUGGGACUGAGAUACGGCCCAGACUCCUACGGGAGGCAGCAGUGGGGAAUAUUGCACAAUGGGCGCAAGCCUGAUGCAGUGACGCCGCGUGAGGGAUGACGGCCUUCGGGUUGUAAACCUCUUUCAGCACCGACGAAGCGCAAGUGACGGUAGGUGCAGAAGAAGGACCGGCCAACUACGUGCCAGCAGCCGCCGUAA
rnacentral:rRNA from 1 species